CCCAUAUCUCCGAUGCAUACUCCAUUACCGUCCAUACUAGCCUGUCAAAUAACCAAAUCCUUUUUUCUCAAUCCCUCCCAAACCUUCUUUUUCCUAUUCCCCAUACCUGCCUCAUUACUACCCCUGCCUUCCAAGAUCGGAAGAGAAC
rnacentral:lncRNA from 1 species